rnacentral:rRNA from 1 species
UACAGGGGGGGCAAGCGUUGCUCGGAAUUACUGGGCGUAAAGGGCUCGUAGGUGGCCGACUAAGUCAGACGUGAAAUCCCUCAGCUUAACUGGGGAACUGCGUCUGAUACUGGAUGGCUUGAGUUUGGGAGAGGGAUGCGGAAUUCCAGGUGUAGCGGUGAAAUGCGUAGAUAUCUGGAGGAACACCGGUGGCGAAGGCGGCAUCCUGGACCAACACUGACACUGAGGAGCGAAAGCCAGGGGAGCAAACGGG